UACAGAGGUCUCGAGCGUUGUUCGGAUUCAUUGGGCGUAAAGGGUGCGUAGGCGGCGCGGUAAGUCGGGUGUGAAAAUCUCGGAGCUUAACUCCGAAACUGCAUUCGAUACUGCGGUGCUUUGAGGACUGGAGAGGAGACUGGAAUUCAUGGUGUAGCAGUGAAAUGCGUAGAGAUCAUGAGGAAGACCAGUGGCGAAAGGCGGGGUCUCUGGACAGUUUCCUGACACUGAGACACGAAGGCCAGGGGGAGCAAAACGGGG
rnacentral:rRNA from 1 species